CUCAUCAAAAUAUCAAGUUACGUACAAUAAUAGUAUUCAUACGUUGAAAAUGCCUUCGGUUUAUACUUAUACAAGAAUAAAAAUAACGUUUUUCUAAUUAUGCUGAUGGUUCUUCCUCGACUUCAUCGUCUUCUAAUGUCCUGUGAGAUUCUUUUGCUCCUUCGUCGCACAUUUUUCACAUGCACUUCUACGAUGUUUGUUUUUAGCUUCGCUUUGCUGUUGUUCUUUUGUUGUAUAAUAAACUAAUUCUAAAUACAAUAAAUUUCAAUUUCCUUUUUUUUUAAUGUUCUCCACCUUUUUUUUUUUUGCUUGGCCUCUUUCUGCCGAAUGAAUGAUUUCUCGUGUCUUAUUUUUAGAGUUUUCUUUAAUUUUCUAGAUUUUUGUUAUAUUUUUUUGGUUUCCUUAUUAAAUCGUAUCCUUAUGGAGAUGCAAUGCACAAAAAGCCGCAACAAACAAGCCAUAAUAAUAAUUCAUAAUAAUUCAAUAAUUUUGUGUUUCUAUUUAAUGAAUCGAAUAUGCAAUUACAUUUCAAGGGGGAUCGCAGGGAACUGCUGAAAAUAUGCUAAUUGAAUUCAAUUCUAUCAAUAAUUCCCGCAGUUAAUCAACUAAUUUGUUGUGCAAACAUUUCGCGUCAGCUGCAAAAAGCUUUAGAAAAGUUUGCCAAAACAAAAAAUUAUCGAGAGUAUGAUGCAAUGCAUUCUAUUAACAUUAUAUUUUUGUUAUGAAUUUAUUUAAUGUUUUAAUUGUCUGCCUGAUGAGCGAAGCGCUGAAACAAAUGCAAACAGAAACAACUGUCCGGGCGGGUUUGGGUUUGGGGUUGUGGGGAAGAAGUGCUUGCCUUUGAGAACUUAGCACACACAUCGAAUGCACACAUCGAUAAUAAAUAAUUUAAACACUGACAAUUAGAUUUUCCGCUAUUUGCUAUUAGCUAAGGAUUUCACUGCUCUCUUGCACAAGCAUUAAAUGUAGUUUUUUUUCGGUUUUUAUAUAUUUUCUUUUUGAUUUUUUACUUUACUUAUGCUUAAAUGUAUUUUCUGUUUAUGUGGGUUUUCCUGUGCCGAAACUGUGAAUUUUCCUUGUUAUACAUUUUAGUUGUUCUUUCCUAUGCUUUAUUUUGAUAUCAAUUAUGCUUAAGACUACAAUUUAAUUAUGAAUUUCGAGUCGUCGCUUUUGCAUCAUUUACAUAACUCAGGACUGGGCUAAACUAAGUUAUUGCGUAAAAAUUCUAUAUAAAUCACCGUUUGCUGCCUGCCACCCAAAAAUAUUCCCGCUCUCCGCUCUCAAGCUGCCUCUCUAGCCUCUUCUCUGCAGCGCCAUCUCUCCAUCCUUCCGCUCUGCUCUCUAGUAACCUUUCGUGCGUCUGUAGCUCAAAUAAAUGUAAUUCUUUAGUUGUAAUUUAUAAUGCUGUGCCUUAAUUCGUAGAUGCUUUGCAUAAUCCUCCUCCUCAAAAACGGCUCCACGUCCCGAGUGACGAAUGCUCUUAAGACUGAAUACAUUUAAAUAUAAUUCACAAUGACUCACACACACUCACGCACACGCACAACUGUCACGUAAAUAGGUUUGCCAUACAUUUAUAUUUCUUAAAAUAUAUCUAUAUAUAUAUAUGUCCAUGUAUAUAAUUUAAUAUAUAUAUAUAUAUAUAUACACAUAUGUAUAUAAAUUUCUGUAAUGUAGUUUACUUUUUGAGUUGAUUUAACAUUAAACUAAUUAAUUUCACUAAACUAUACACAAAAUGUUUACGAGUUAUGCUCUUAUUUGCCUACAUAAAACGUGUUCUCUCUCGCCGCCCUGCCACCCGCAAAACGCCAUCUCCCCCACCCACCAACACGUAAGUGUAUAUAGUAUACGUAUACGUAUACGUAUUUAUGUAUAUGUAUAUUUGCUUUAGCUUGGAGUUGGGGUUGGGGUUGGGGUUGGGGUUUGGGUUACGGUUGGUUUCUCUAUAUAUUUCUGCUAUGCUAUGCCUGGCCAUCCGUCCGCCAUUUAGUCUACACUUAAACUAAACGCUUAUGAUGUUCUGCUCAGCUUUUCCCAGGGAAAAUCAUACUUGACGAUGGUGGUGGAAGGAAAGGGGUAGUGUGGGGAGUGGCCUGGGUGUUGAUAGGGGGGAUUGGGGAGCGCAGGGAGCAGGGAAAUUGCUAAGCACAUUUGCAAACGAAACUCUAAACGAAAUUAAAAUGUAUUUACUUUAGUUUUAGUAUACUUUAUUUACUUUUCCUUAUGCAUGCUUGCUGCCAAAUCUUCUACCAGCCAGCCUUUCUGCACCAUCUUCGGGCCUUUGGUUAUUCUGCUCGACUGUAAAUAUGUAGAAAAUGUUUAUAGAUUGCUUCUCCAGCAAACGGCAACGGCAAUGGCACCCAGACCCACUCCACUCCAAUCCAAUCGACUCCCCGGUACUCCUCUUCAAUCCAUUAUACUCCUCCGCCCUUUGGCCACUGCAGCGGACUGGUCUGGACCCAAGGGGGGCACUGCCUUGUAAAAUGUGCCAGUGUAGACAAUAAAAUAUAUUCAUAGUUAUCGGGUUAGUACUCUCUAGACUCACAUUCAGCGUUACUUAAAAUUCGUACUUCAUUAACUUUAAUUGGGGGAUCAAGGGAUCGUGGGACCUCGGGAGUAGCCCUGCCUCUGCCCAAGCCCUGCCCUGCCCUGCCCUGCCCUCUUACGUAUGUAUGCGUAGUUUUGCUGCCGAAUUUGAGACACGAAAUGAUCGAGUGGGAACCUAUGUGGUAUGUAUGCCUAUCGCUCAGGAUAGGGUCACUGCUGCCACUGUUACAUCAAUAUACAAUUUGGAGUACCAUAAUUUGGGGUUUCUGUUUCAUCUAUAAUCUCACAUAUAUAUAUAUAUAUGUAUGUAUAUAUAUGUUAUAUAGAUAUAUAUAUAUUAUUUUUAUGUUGCAAUUGUUGCAUAAACGCGGAACACCUCGUUGACCAGUCUUUCAUUUUUUU
rnacentral:lncRNA from 1 species